GACGAACGCUGGCGGCGUGCUUAACACAUGCAAGUCGAGCGGAAAGGCCCUUUCGGGGGUACUCGAGCGGCGAACGGGUGAGUAACACGUGAGUAAUCUGCCCUGGACUCUGGGAUAGCCACCGGAAACGGUGAUUAAUACCGGCUAUGACACCUUGCUGCAUGGUGGGGUGUGGAAAGUUUUCUCGGUCCAGGAUGUGCUCGCGGCCUAUCAGCUUGUUGGUGAGGUAACGGCUCACCAAGGCUUUGACGGGUAGCCGGCCUGAGAGGGUGACCGGUCACACUGGGACUGAGACACGGCCCAGACUCCUACGGGAGGCAGCAGUGGGGAAUAUUGGACAAUGGGCGGAAGCCUGAUCCAGCAACGCCGCGUGAGGGAUGACGGCCUUCGGGUUGUAAACCUCUUUCAGUACCGACGAAGCGUGAGUGACGGUAGGUACAGAAGAAGGACCGGCCAACUACGUGCCAGCAGCCGCCGUAAAAC
rnacentral:rRNA from 1 species